rnacentral:rRNA from 1 species
GGUUAACGCUGGCGGCGUGCCUAACACAUGCAAGUCGAGCGGCAGCGAGUUUUACACUGAAUUCUGGAAGCUUCUAGUUGAAAGAGAAGAUUUAUUCAAGAAUUUUGUGUAAAAUGUCGGCGAGCGGCGGACGGCUGAGUAACGCGUGGGAACGUACCCCAAAGUGAGGGAUAACGCAUCGAAAGGUGUGCUAAUACCGCAUAUGGUCUUCGGAUUAAAGCCUUCGGGCGCUUUGGGAACGGCCUGCGUAAGAUUAGAUAGUUGGUGGGGUAAUGGCCUACCAAGUCGACGAUCUUUAACUGGUUUGAGAGGAUGAUCAGUCAGACUGGAACUGAGACACGGUCCAGACUCCUACGGGAGGCAGCAGUGAGGAAUCUUCCACAAUGGGCGAAAGCCUGAUGGAGCAACGCCGCGUGCAGGAUGAAGGCCUUCGGGUUGUAAACUGCUUUUAUAAGUGAGGAUUAUGACAGUAACUUAUGAAUAAGGAUCGGCUAACUACGUG